rnacentral:rRNA from 1 species
CCUACGGGUGGCAGCAGUCGAGAAUCAUUCACAAUGGGGGAAACCCUGAUGGUGCGACGCCGCGUGGGGGAAUGAAGGUCUUCGGAUUGUAAACCCCUGUCAUGUGGGAGCAAAUUAAAAAGAUAGUACCACAAGAGGAAGAGACGGCUAACUCUGUGCCAGCAGCCGCGGUAAUACAGAGGUCUCAAGCGUUGUUCGGAAUCACUGGGCGUAAAGCGUGCGUAGGCUGUUUCGUAAGUCGUGUGUGAAAGGCGGGGGCUCAACCCGCGGACGGCACAUGAUACUGCGAGACUAGAGUAAUGGAGGGGGAACCGGAAUUCUCGGUGUAGCAGUGAAAUGCGUAGAUAUCGAGAGGAACACUCGUGGCGAAGGCGGGUUCCUGGACAUUAACUGACGCUGAGGCACGAAGGCCAGGGGAGCGAAAGGGAUUAGAUACCCCAGUAUC